GUGGGGAAUAUUGGACAAUGGGCGAAAGCCUGAUCCAGCCAUACCGCGUGUGUGAAGAAGGUCUUCGGAUUGUAAAGCACUUUAAGUUGGGAGGAAGGGCAGUAAGUUAAUACCUUGCUGUUUUGACGUUACCGACAGAAUAAGCACCGGCUAACUUCGUGCCAGCAGCCGCGGUAAUACGAAGGGUGCAAGCGUUAAUCGGAAUUACUGGGCGUACAGCGCGCGUAGGUGGUUUUGUAAGUUGGAGGUGAAAUCCCCGGGCUCAACCUGGGAACUGCCUCCAAAACUGCAUGACUAGAGUACGGUAGAGGGUAGUGGAAUUUCCUGUGUAGCGGUGAAAUGCGUAGAUAUAGGAAGGAACACCAGUGGCGAAGGCGACUACCUGGACUGAUACUGACACUGAGGUGCGAAAGCGUGGGGAGCAACCAGGAUUAGAUACCCUAGUAGUCC
rnacentral:rRNA from 1 species